rnacentral:rRNA from 1 species
AGAGUUUGAUCAUGGCUCAGAAUGAACGUUGGCGGCGUGGAUUAGGCAUGCAAGUCGGACGCCCCGCGAGGGGCGUGGCGCAAGGGUGAGUAAGGCGACGGCAACCAACCCCACGGCCGGGCAUAGCCGCGGGAAACUGCGGGUAAUUCCCGGCGACGUCCGGAGGGGGCAUCCCUCCCGGACCAAAGGUGCGAUUCCGCCGUGGGACGGGCCGUCGUGGUAUCAGCUGGUUGGCGGGGUAACGGCCCACCAAGGCUGCGACGCCUACCGGGCGUGCGAGCGUGGCCCGGCACACUGGGACUGAGACACUGCCCAGACACCUACGGGUGGCUGCAGUCGAGAAUCUUCGGCAAUGGGCGCAAGCCUGACCGAGCGACGCCGCGUGAGGGAUGACGGCCUUCGGGUUGUAAACCUCUUUCAGCAGGGAAGAAGCGAGAGUGACGGUACCUGCAGAAGAAGCACCGGCUAACUACGUGCCAGCCGCCGCGGUAAUAC